rnacentral:misc_RNA from 1 species
UCCAACUUAUCGCUGGCGGUCUCCUGAGAGUGCUCCCUUACGGGGUGGCAACACAGGACAAGGGUUGCGCUCGUUGCGGGACUUAACCCAACAUCUCACGACACGAGCUGACGACAGCCAUGCAGCACCUCGACUCAAGUCCCUUGCGGGAAGUCCCUGUUUCCAAAGAUUUUCUUAAGCCGUUCGAGCCCAGGUAAGGUUCUUCGCGUUGCGUCGAAUUGAACCACAUGCUCCACCGCUUGUGCGGGCCCCCGUCAAUUCCUUUGAGUUUCAACCUUGCGGUCGUACUCCCCAGGCGGGGUACUUCCUGCGUUAGCGCCGGCACCCAGAGGGUCGCUCCCCCAGGCACCUAGUACCCAUCGUUUACGGCGUGGACUAC